CCUACGGGCGACAGCAGUGAGGAAUAGUGGUCAAUGGACGAGAGUCUGAACCAGCCAAGUAGCGUGAAGGAUGAAUGCCCUAUGGGUUGUAAACUUCUUUUAUAAAGGAAUAAAACGAGGCACGUGUGCCUUUUUGCAUGUACUAUAUGAAUAAGGAUCGGCUACCUCCGUGCCAGCAGCCGCGGUAAUCCGGAGGAUCCGAGCGUUAUCCGGAUUUCUUGGGUUUAAAGGGAGCGUAGAUGGGUUGUUAAGUCAGUUGUGAAAGUUUGCGGCUCAACCGUAAAAUUGCAAUUGAUACUGGCAGUCUUGAGUACAGUAGAGGUAGGCGGAAUUCGUGGUGUAGCGGUGAAAUGCUUAGAUAUCACGAAGAACCCCGAUUGCGAAGGCAGCUUACUAAACUGUGACUGACAUUGAUGCUCGAAAGUGUGGGUAUCAAACAGGAUUAGAUACCCCUGUAGUC
rnacentral:rRNA from 1 species